ensembl:lncRNA
UUUUGCUGCUAGAAAUAUGGAUAAAAAAUAUUGCUUGUGACUCCAGUGAAAUGAGCCUGCUCUUAGAGAGCCUUCUACAAUCUAUCUUGUUUGUGCACUUUAGACUUCAGAAGAACUAACCUUAUUGGAAUAGAGUUGGAAACAUUGGAUCAUUGGCCAAAGCUUUAAAGAAAAUGUUUCCUUGCUACAGAAAGAACAUUAGCAUUCUCACAAAGAAGGUUCCAUAGAAACAAGAAAUACAUUUUUACAGCAAAACUCCCUUUGAUGUGAAUCUUGAGCAAAGCACAAAAAAAGGGCCAGUGGGAUUCUAUUUCCUUCUGUGUACGCUUUUGCAAUUCUUUUUUUUUUUUUUUUUUUUGCUAAUGGGCCACCUGGGAUAUUGUCUUUCUGGUGACUGAACUAAGGCACCUUAGCAGGGUGGGAGGGAUACAAAGGAUUCCUCAAAGGAACGCACUUGCUCUAAGCAGCUUCUCAGAGGGAAAUAUUUCUGUGUCUUUUACCCAUCUUUUCGGUUUCUUCACAAUGUCUCCUUCACCUUACAGUUGCACAGCAGAAGUGCAACUUGAAUUACCAGCCAGCAUCAGCUCCAGCAGUCUGCUCCUGACAGAAGAUAAUGCUGGAGAAAAAAAAUCAAGAAAUUACCUUACUGGCAACAAAGAAAUGUCAGGCUCUUUCUUCAAACAAGGAGCAAAAAAGCUACAUUGCACUGAUUGGAAAAAACAAAUCUUAUUUUCCAUGUCUGUGCCCUGAACAAAAAAAGAAGUAGAUGAAAGGAUGGUGUUGUAACAGAUCAGGCUUCAUACCACAUCAGAGUUUAUCAAGAAAAUGACAUACAGACAUAAUAGUUGCAGGAUAGCAACUCAUAGGUCAAGAAAAAACAGAAAGGUAAUUUCAUUUGCUCCAGAUCUCCAGAAAGUCUUUAAGAAUUGGUAAGAACCUGGUGGCAGCAAACCACCAGACAUACUUGUUUGUCAAGGAACAAAGCUCUCAUAAUAUGAUGGGCAAUGUCACAAAAAAGCAUGAAAUUCUUAUGUAGAAUGAAUUAGUCUUCAAAAGAGGCAGGCAUCUGAUCAAACAUCUAAUUGUUAAUCAGUUGUCGAGCAAUUUCACUACUCCUACUAAAUUCAAAAUCAUAUUAUGACUAAUUUCAGCCACAUACCAUCUGCAAAGCAGCCUGAAUACUUUGCUUACAUUCUGGCCUGUACACUAACAACAGAUAAUUAUUAAACGGCGUAAUGACCUGCUAAGAAUACUGUGGAAAACCCGCUGUAGUACUGGUUUAUUGGAAUUCAUUAGAGAAUGAUGUUUGAAAUCAGCUGCGUUACUAACACUAGCCAAAUAUCUGGUUUUAUGUGUGGGCUUAUCUCUCCAUAAUCACUCCCACAUGGACUAAAGUUUGUGUUUAGUUCUGACAGUAGAAGUAAAAGAGAAGCUAUCACUGGUAAUAACAAUUCUAGUCACGUACUGGACCAGGUUCAUUCCUGAAAUAAUUCUAGUCAAAGGUGUUCAGACUACUAUAUGCAUUAAUUUAAUCUACUAGAUUUGCCCAUUGCAUGCUAUCUUGGGUCAUCCUUAUAUUCUCACUAACCAGCAAUGGAUGUAACACACUGUUAGGAAAACACUUGCUUAUAGCAGUGACGUCACCCCAAAGUGAAAACAGAUGCUAACUAAAUUCUAAUAUGCGCAAGAAAGUGUGUUGGCAGCUGCAACAAAUAUCACAGUAACUGUGGAAUUCUCAUAUUGCAAUGUCUGACAAUACAAAGCAUAAGAAGCAACUAGAAAUCUAAAAGAAAACUGAAGGUGCCACCCCUAAAGAGGAAAUCUACAGAACAACAUUCUACAAUCUACAUCAAAUCUACAACAUCAUUAAAAAAAACAACACAGAAAAAUGUAUAGAAAAUUCCACCAGGUACCUCAUAUCACCACUUUUUCUCAUAUGCAGUGAGAAAAAUACUCACACCUCACCUCAUCCAUCUGAAUAGAGCUCAGUAAGAACUCUGAUCUGAAGGAUGAAUGAACCUUUGAACAAGUCAAGUCAUUUGAGAAAUGCAGAGAAACUUACCAUGAUGCAAAAGAUCAAGUGUCACUGCAUGCACAUCUCUCAUUGCCCUAUUGUACCCUAAACUAAAAAUUUAGUGUGAAAAAUCUUAGAGUUACAGUCUAAGCUAGAAAGAAACAUCAUAUUGUGCAAGAAUUUUGCCCAGAAACUCCACUCAUUGCUCUUAAGUAAAGUUUAGAGACUUGGCUGUCCUGAUUGCCAACAGCAAAUUUUCUUUAGGAUAUCAUACAUCAGACCAUUUUGAGGCAAAACCACUUCCAGUUUGUCAACAAAUUUCCUGCAGUAAAGGCUACAGAGGAAUCAAAUUGUUAUGCAAGUCAUCCCAUGCAUCAAAUGUCCUUAUAACAAUUACCUCUGUGGAGUCGAAGACUGAAUACAUGCUAAACUGAGCUCAUCCAGGCAAUAGAGAUCACAUCCAACCAGUUUUUUGCACUGUUUUCAUGGAGCAAUGGUGUCAUGUUUGAGUAGUGAGCUCUUUGGCAACCUGCAAACAAACUACAGAGUCAGGGUGGGGGUUACACUCAACGACCCGUUUCUUGCUUAAGUGUAGCAGAGCUAAGAGAUGCCGGCUUUCUAAGACAAUACUAUCUUCUCCCUUCCCUCUCCUGUCAGCUUCUCACUUUGCUAUUGCUGAUUAUUACUGUCUCUCUUCACCUCAUAGGGCCUAACUAACUUAUUUCCAGCAUUCUAGGAGAUUCCUUUAUUUCUAUGAAGUCACACACUUUCUCCUCCCCACAGCAAGCGUUCUCCCUGGUCAAGGAACUCUUUUUUUGCUUCUACGGUAGGUCAACAUAUAAAAAUAAGCAGGUCCCACCCACCCAGACAGUAGGUCAACACAUAAAAGAAAUAGGUUCUACCCACUCAGGAAAAAAAAAAAAAAAAGCGUGCUGAAAUAUUUCUUCUCUUCUCUCAGUAAUCCAUAAGAGAACCUAUAGACUCUAGUUUACUUUUACACUAAAUCUGUUCACAUUUGAAACAACAAAGGCAGUAGCAAUUAUAUGCUGCUUGAGUUUUCAAACCACUGCCUCUGUCUUGUAACUCCAACAAACAGAUAUUUAAUCUCUAUUGAUCUAUUUAGCUAACCCUUCCAGCACGUGCGCUUGGGUACACAGUGUCUAUUAUAUUCACUUAGAUUUCUAGUGCUUUUUCUGGAGUGCUUUUUACAAACACAGCAGUAUCUCUUGUGGUUUUAAUCAAAGACAUUUGCAUGGCAUGACCCACUUAGAUCUGCAGCUAAUGCUGUGAACUAUUUUAUUUUUUCAAGUAUCAAGGCUAUGCAAUUACUGAAUGGUAAGCUCACCUAUAUCACUAAACACCUGCCAAGAAGAAUAUUGCAAAAAAAUCUCAAGACAUACAAGCUGGGCUGAAGAAGCAAUAGUAAGUAUGUAGCACAAAACUGGAUGAAAAACAGAUACAUAAACAUUUCCAUCUGUAAUCUCUCUGACACAUGGAUUAUUGCUGAAGUUUAAAUUCUGAGAUUCAACAUCUUAGCAUUUAUCCACUUCUAACAUGGAUCUUCUGAAAUCUUGCCAAGGGAAUGCCAGCUAAGUCUAACUGUCCUCAUAUCUCUUUAAGAUAUGCACAAACAGUAAAACCAUAGAAGAGUGAAACAACUUCCAAAAAGGAUUCCAGGUCAUUGAGUCUGACUGGAAAUAGUGUGAAGCAUAUCUGGCCAUAUCAGUUAUUCCACAGUCUAUUCACAGAAACAGUAUUGUCUGAUUGCAAGACGUCUUGUCAAAUCUUUGCAUAAUCACAACCCAUCAGCAGGACAAAGCAAAUGAAGUGCAAAUAUUAGAAGAUGAAACAAUUACUUUUCGUUGAAUACAGAGGAAUGGUAAUUAUGAUCUGAUUUUGUUUCCUUUUUAAUAGCUUUAUGUCAUCUACU